UGGGGAAUCUUGGACAAUGGGCGCAAGCCUGAUCCAGCCAUGCCGCGUGGAUGAUGAAGGCCUUAGGGUUGUAAAAUCCUUUCAACGGGGACGAUAAUGACGGUACCCGUAGAAGAAGCCCCGGCUAACUUCGUGCCAGCAGCCGCGGUAAUACGAAGGGGGCUAGCGUUGCUCGGAAUUACUGGGCGUAAAGCGCACGUAGGCGGAUAUUUAAGUCGGAGGUGAAAUCCCAGGGCUCAACCCUGGAACUGCCCUCGAUACUGGGUAUCUGGACCAAAGUAGAGGUAAGUGGAAUUCCGAGUGUAGAGGUGAAAUUCGUAGAUAUUCGGAGGAACACCAGUGGCGAAGGCGACUUACUGGACUUUUGGUGACGCUGAGGUGCGAA
rnacentral:rRNA from 1 species